GAGCACGUAGGUGGGUUUGUAAGUCAGAUGUGAAAGCCUUCUGUUCAACGGAAGAAUUGCAUCUGAAACUGCGAGUCUUGAGUGUAGGAGGGGAGAAUGGAACUUCUGGUGGGGCGGUGAAAUGCGUAGAUAUCAGAAGGAACGCCGGCGGCGAAAGCGAUUCUCUGGCCUAUUACUGACACUCAGUGUGCGAAAGCUAGGGGAGCAAACGGGAUUAGAUACCCCGGUAGUCCUAGCCGUAAACGAUGGGCACUAAGUAGAGGGGUUUU
rnacentral:rRNA from 1 species